UACGUAGGGGGCAAGCGUUGUCCGGAUUCAUUGGGCGUAAAGAGCGUGUAGGCGGCCAGGUAGGUCGGUUGUGAAAACUGGAGGCUCAACCUUCAGAGGUCGACCGAAACCAUCUGGCUAGAGUCCGGGAGAGGAGAGUGGAAUUCCCGGUGUAGCGGUGAAAUGCGCAGAUAUCGGGAAGAACACCCGUGGCUAAGGCGGCUCUCUAGUACGGUACUGACGCUGAGACGCGAAAGCGUGGGGAGCGAACAGG
rnacentral:rRNA from 1 species